AUUGAACGCUGGCGGCAGGCUUAACACAUGCAAGUCGAGCGGAGAUGAGGUGCUUGCACCUUAUCUUAGCGGCGGACGGGUGAGUAAUGCUUAGGAAUCUGCCUAUUAGUGGGGGACAACAUUCCGAAAGGAAUGCUAAUACCGCAUACGUCCUACGGGAGAAAGCAGGGGAUCUUCGGACCUUGCGCUAGUAGAUGAGCCUAAGUCGGAUUAGCUAGUUGGUGGGGUAAAGGCCUACCAAGGCGACGAUCUGUAGCGGGUCUGAGAGGAUGAUCCGCCACACUGGGACUGGGACACGGCCCAGACUCCUACGGGAGGCAGCAGUGGGGAAUAUUGGACAAUGGGGGGAACCCUGAUCCAGCCAUGCCGCGUGUGUGAAGAAGGCCUUAUGGUUGUAAAGCACUUUAAGCGAGGAGGAGGCUACUGAGACUAAUACUCUUGGAUAGUGGACGUUACUCGCAGAAUAAGCACCGGCUAACUCUGUGCCAGCCGCCGCCGUAACAC
rnacentral:rRNA from 1 species